UGUCACGGUCUGAGGUAUUUCCCUGCUGUCACUCCCUGUCUUUUGAGUUUCCCUCUGCAGGUGGGCGUGUCUGGAGGUGACCAAGCUGCAGCAGAUCUGCUCAUCAGCUGGCCAGGGGUAUUUAAGCAGCUGGGAGACUCCUACACUUCGCUGGAUGAUUACUCUACCUGGGUACCUUCUAACAGCCACUUGUGAAACUUAUUCGAGCUCUGUAAACUCUUGAGAAUUAGAUUUGUUUUUGGAUUUUGGAUUUUUGAGAUUUGAUGUGUUUUUGGAUUUUGGAUUUUUGCCUUUUUGACCUCCUGCUCUUGUUCCCAGACAAACCUACACACUCAUCUUAGACUGGCAGAACUCUGGAGCCCACACCAUCUGGAUCUCCAACUCUUUGUCUCUCAGCCUCUCCCCUGGCCAGAGCCACCUCCAGCUGCCCACCUAGCCUUCCUGGACCUCCCCAAGCUCAGCUCCCUCCACGUCUCACUUCUGGAUCUCAGUCCCUGCUAAGCCUCUCUACCCAGACCGGACCACUCCUCCCUCAAACCAGUUCCCACCUCUCCAGACCGAGACAUGGUGGAGGGCGCGGUGAAAAAGACUCUGGGUAUUGAGGAAAAGGAGAAGAAAGGAGGAGUCAAGUCUUGGUUUGGGGGUGACAAAGAAAAGGAGAAGGGAAAAGGAGGAAUCUUUUCCUCUGGGCAUGACGAAAAGAAAAAGGGUGGAGAUGAACAAAAAGGAGGAGGAUUCUUCUCAAAGGUCUUUCACAGAGAUGACGAAGAUGAAAAGGACAACAAGCAGAAGAAAUCUGGAUUUCAAGGCCUGUUUGCUGAAGGCACAGAAGGAGGUGCUACGGGAGGAGGAGAUGCUAUGGGAGAAGACGCUAUGGGAGGAAGUGAUGUGGAUGGUGGAAGUGAAGGACAAACUUUAGCUGUGACUGACAGAGAUCUGUUUGAUGAUUUGAUUGAUGUGGCAAGCGAAACAUCUAAGGAAAACUAA
rnacentral:lncRNA from 1 species